AUUGAACGCUGGCGGCAUGCUUUACACAUGCAAGUCGGACGAGUGGCGAACGGGUGAGUAACGCAUGGGAACGUACCGAGUACAGGGGGAUAACUGUCAGAAAGGAGAGCUAAUACCGCAUAUUCUGAUAGCGGCCGAUGUCGGAUUAGCUGGUGGGGGGGGUAAUGGCCCACCAAGGCGACGAUCAGUAGCGGGUAUGGGAGGAUGAUUGGCCACACUGGGACUGAGAAACGGCCCAGACUCCUACGGGAGGCAGCAGUGGGGAAUUUUGGACAAUGGGCGCAAGCCUGAUCCAGCCAUGCCGCGUGUCUGAAGAAGGCCUUCGGGUUGUAAAGGACUUUUGUCAGGGAAGCGGUACCUGAAGAAUAAGCACCGGCUAACUACGUGCCAGCCGCCGCGGUAAUUC
rnacentral:rRNA from 1 species